AUGGCUGAGGCACAGAACACUGGGGGCGAGGGGCCCCGCGACAGUUGGCUGGAUAAACUGUUUAAACGACAUUUGGCCAAAACAACUGCUGGUGAAAGAGAGGAGGUGAUAAGAAGACAAAAAAUGUUUCGUGACAGGUACGGAGACAGAUUCUUAGGGCUAGACGAUGGCAAAAAAAGUUUACAGACACUGUUGGGGAUUGUCACUGGAAAUAAACAGGAGAGGGAUAAAUGUGACGCGGAGUUGAAGAGUGCGAGUGUGUGGGACAAGCGUAACUUAAAAGAGAGAAUGAGAGUCGCAGAUGAAAUGAAAUGCAUGGCACAACACCUACGUGAUGCUUGUCUGGCUGCACGAGCGGCUGCGGUUGAUGAGAUGGAGGAUCAAGAUCAGCAGAGUAUGAGCGCAGGGAAAGAGGAAAAGAAUAUGCUCAGCGCACCUCCGAGUCAUGGUGAAGGAGGCCAAGCAAUGUACCCGGUGUUGACAGGAGGAAAUAUAGUUGUGGCCGGAGGAGAGCUGCAGUUGGAGGCAGGUGCAGUUGGAGGCAGCAGAGCGCCAGAGGUAGAAAAGGCAAUGUCUAAACUGACAGUGGGAGAGUUAGAACAGCCGGCGACUUUGUCUUCAGUUAACCCGUUCGUACCGCGCCCGACGCAGGAGGGCGGACAGGGCGAUGGAUGGUUGGCUGUGCAGCGGAGCAUGAUAGAGGAACAAAAAAGCCAGAAGAGUGUAUCGGACGACACGAACCGUCGGAUAGUGAGAAUUGAGAACAUGUUGGUGAAGGCCCGAGACGAGGGUGGAGCUAAGGCACGGAAGAAAGGCAGGCGUAGACGUAAGGAUGAGGAAGAGAGUGAGGAUGAGGAAGAAGGCACUGGAGGCGGAGUGGAGGCAUGUGACGGGCUGACGCUCAACUGGGAGCCACCUCCACAGCAGGUGGCCCCAACACAUGUGGGGAAACCCCCACAGGGCGGGGCCACCAGUCAAUCAGAAUCUCCAGCCCCUCCCACCCAGGGAGGUGGACCUGUAACCAGGUCACGAGUGGAGGAAGCUGUGGGAGGACAGUACCCCCUGGUGGCCAGUCAAGGCGGAGCGGCACCGUGGAUAGCAGCCUUCAAGGCACUGACAAUGGGCGUGCCCUUAGCACUGGGGGAUGUCCGCAUGGUUGUAGCUGCAUGUGUUGGAUUACAAAAGCUGGCCGGGGUGGAGCAGCUGGCAGGCACCGCAGUACAGGGGGGAAACAGAGCACCAGACACUACACCAUUUGCAGACCACAUCGGCGCUUUCUGUGAUGCACUGAGAUUACACUUCCCAAUUAGCGUGGCGGCUAUCGAAGAUUUUUCCCAUCGCUUGAAGGAUGAUGGUUCUGUGAGUCCAGAGACUUGGCUACACGAGGCUCGCCAGAAAUGGGUACAGAUGACGGGGGAGCCCCCAGUUGAUAAUACUCCCGCGAUGGUGAUGCUUAAAGAUAAACUAUUGAAUAAUGUUCCACCACCAGUAAAAGAAAAACUUUUAGAUAAUCCUUUAAUGGCUAGAUCACCAUGGUCCCAGUGGUCACAGUGUCUGGUCACCCUGCUACAGAAACACUGGGAGAAAAUACACCAACAAGCACAAUCACAACAAGCAGCAGCUAACACUUUGGUACACAUUCAGCUAGAACAGGCUAAACAAACAAGCAAAAAGAACUCAGGAGGAGCUCAGGCCUCGCCAAUGGCGGCCUUGACACAUCAGGCCACACCCUCAAUUAAUCAAUGGGGACAGAACCGUGGGGGACGAUGGGGUGUGCGGAGGGGCCCACGCCCGGGUGACAGGUGUGGCAACUGCGGUAGGUUCGGACACUGGGCGAGGGACUGCAGGGCUCGGAGAGGUCCCGGAAGAGGGGUCCAAGAGACUCAAAACGGGGGCGAGCCCAGAUGGGGCCUGCCUCAAGGACGAGGAAUGUACCCGUAG
ensembl:lncRNA